AAGCAGGGGAUCGUAAGACCUUGCGCUUUUGGAGCGGCCGAUGCCUGAUUAGCUAGUUGGUGGGGUAAGGGCCUACCAAGGCAACGAUCAGUAGUUGGUCUGAGAGGACGACCAGCCACACUGGGACUGAGACACGGCCCAGACUCCUACGGGAGGCAGCAGUGGGGAAUUUUGGACAAUGGGCGAAAGCCUGAUCCAGCAAUGCCGCGUGAGUGAAGAAGGCCUUCGGGUUGUAAAGCUCUUUCAGUCGAGAAGAAAAGGUUGUGACUAAUAAUCACAACUUAUGACGGUACCGACAGAAGAAGCACCGGCUAACUACGUGCCAGCAGCCGCGGUAAUACGUAGGGUGCGAGCGUUAAUCGGAAUUACUGGGCGUAAAGGGUGCGCAGGCGGCUUUGUAAGUCAGAUGUGAAAUCCCCGGGCUUAACCUGGGAAUUGCGUUUGAAACUACAAAGCUAGAGU
rnacentral:rRNA from 1 species